rnacentral:lncRNA from 1 species
UUUUCACCCGUGCGAUGCACGGCUAAUAUAAUAAUAUAGAAUAAUAAAAAUUAUUAUAUGAUGAUAACAAAAAAAUUUUCUAAUUAAUUUUAUAUUUUUUAACAAAUAAAAAAAUAUACUAUCAAUCUUAAUUAUAGUACAUAUUAAAGUACACAAGCUAGAGAAAAAAAAAUUUGGACCAAAGUAAAUAUUCAACUAAAAUGCAAAAUUUAAUCCUGCUCUAUUAUCUAUGAAUUGGUAUGCAAAAUAAUUUACAUUUAUAUAUUGAUGUGCGAAAUAAAAUGAUAACUAAAAUUGAUAUGAAAAAUUACAAAUGAUAUUAAUAUUUAAGCAUAUAAUGAGAUCAACUAAACUUUCAUAUUUGACACAAAUUAGAAUAAGCACACAUAUAUUAUGUUCCUACUAUCGCUUUUAAAAUUCAAAAAUAUAUAGAUGUUGAUUUUCAGAAAAAUAUAAAGAAAAAAAAAACUUUGUUACAUGAAGAUGAAAAGUUACAUGAGUGACAGAAGGAAAAAAAAUUACGAAAUGAAAAUUACAGAAGUGACAUAAGGGAAAUAAUAUGUUCUAUUUUAAAGCAUCAAUAUUUAAGAGCGAAGAAAAUUACAGGAGUGAUGUGAGUUUUAAAUUUUUUCCUCUUUCCAAAAAUGCCUCUUCCAUUUGUCUCCAAGAGAAGUGAUGUUACGUAUUGAAUCAUACCCAAGUGCCAUAUCCUGAGAAAAAUAAGACAUCCAAUAAAAAAAUUAAUACAUCAUAUUUAAAUAAUAAAAUAAAAAAAUAUAUGUUCUAUUUUAAAGCAUCAACAUUUAAGAACUAAGAAAAUUACAGGAGUGACAGUAGAGAAAAUAAAAUUACGAAUGACAGUAGAGAAAAAAAAAAUUACGAAGUAAAAAUUAUAUCUAUACUACUUAUAAAUUCUUUCGCAAAGAAUAAUUUCAAAGCAACCGCCAAUCAUUUUGUUUUUACUUUGGUCAUCUAUACCGAUUUUUUCGCAACCAAUCAUUUCAAAUAAUUCGCAACAGAUUAUUGCGUAUUUCUCAACCAAUAAUUUUAAAUAAUUAAUUAUUUGCCAAUACGAAAUUUGAGUUUGACCAUUUUUUUCGCAACUAACCAUUUCAAAUAAUUCGCAACAGAUUAUUGCUUAUUUCGCAACCACUAAUUUUAAAUAAUUAAUUAUCUGCCAAUACGAAAUUUGAGUUUCACUGUUAUCUGCCAAUACGAAAUUUGAGUUUGACCGUUAGAUUAUUGAUUUCGGAAUCAAUAAUUUUAAAUAAUUAAUUAUCUGUCAAUACGAAAUUUGAGUUUGACCCUUUUUUUUCGCAACUAACCAUUUCAAAUAAUUCGCAACAGAUUAUUGCUUAUUUUGCAACCAAUAAUUUUAAAUAAUUAAUUAUCUGUCAAUACGAAAUUUGAGUUUGCAACAUAUUAUUUCCACCGCGAAAAAAUAAUUCACCAAUAAUUUUAAAUAAUUAAUACCAAUCAUUUCAAAUAAUUCACAACAGAUUAUUGCGUAUUUCUCAACCAAUAAUUUUAAAUAAUUAAUUAUUUGCCAAUACGAAAUUUGAGUUUGACCAUUUUUUUCGCAACUAACCAUUUCAAAUAAUUCGCAACAGAUUAUUGCUUAUUUCGCAACCACUAAUUUUAAAUAAUUAAUUAUCUGCCAAUACGAAAUUUGAGUUUCACUGUUAUCUGCCAAUACGAAAUUUGAGUUUGACCGUUAGAUUAUUGAUUUCGGAAUCAAUAAUUUUAAAUAAUUAAUUAUCUGUCAAUACGAAAUUUGAGUUUGACCCUUUUUUUUCGCAACUAACCAUUUCAAAUAAUUCGCAACAGAUUAUUGCUUAUUUUGCAACCAAUAAUUUUAAAUAAUUAAUUAUCUGUCAAUACGAAAUUUGAGUUUGCAACAUAUUAUUUCCACCGCGAAAAAAUAAUUCACCAAUAAUUUUAAAUAAUUAAUACCAAUCAUUUCAAAUAAUUCACAACAGAUUAUUGCGUAUUUCUCAACCAAUAAUUUUAAAUAAUUAAUUAUUUGCCAAUACGAAAUUUGAGUUUGACCAUUUUUUUCGCAACUAACCAUUUCAAAUAAUUUGCAACCAAAUAUCCAUAUUUGAGUUUGACACGUGGCGAGCAUAUAGAAAGCCACGUGUCAGCUUCUCACAUAAGGUUCAUUAAGGGUUCUACUUUUAUAUAUAGUAAUAGAUUUGAUCUUUAAUAAGUUUCUUUAAUUGCUCUUGACUCUUCGUGUAGGAAGAGGUGGAUUCAGGGCACUAUGCAGCCACUUUAUUGGACUCUCUUUCUCUCUCUUUUUGACUAAAAGGGAAAGAGAGACGUAUUUGAUUAGGUUCCAAGAGCAGGGCUGCUGUGCUCUCAGGAGCAUGGAGGCUUCCGUGCUCCUGAGCCGUUUUCGAUGAUGAAAUUUUCGAAUCGACGAUCGGCUCCGUUAGACUUGAUCUAGCGCAUUUGAAGUUUCUAGAAAAUAAUUUUUGCGAUUUUUCGAUAUCAUUUACCUAGUGAUCGAAAGGAUUCAAAAUUCAUAAUUUUUAAUGGUUGAUAUCUGCCGUUUUCAAGUUUAAGGGUGUAGAAGUAUUCAAAUCAGAUGAAAUUUUGAUAGAAAAUUCUUUAUACUAUCUACAACAAGAUCUAUAUUUCUGAUCGAAAAUUUUAGUGCUAUAUCACCACUUUUUAUUAGAUUUUUAUUUUCAGCCGUUAAAAAUUAUUGAUUUUGAAUCCUUUCGAUUGUUAGGUAAAUGAUAUCGAAAAAUCGCAAAAAUUAUUUUCUAGAAACUUUAAAUACGCUAGAUCAGGUUUAACGGAGCCGAUCGUCGAUUCGAAAACUCCAUCAUCGAAAACGGCUCAGGAGCACGGAGGCCUCCGUGCUCCUGAGAGCACAGCAGCCCUGCUCUAGGUUCCAAUGCUUUUUGUCCAAAAACAUUUCAUAGUUAUCUAGGAAGGAAAACUUCAAAAACCCCCCUGUGGUUUCGUAAUUUCUCAUUUUGCCCCCAUGUGGUUUAAAAUGUAUCAAUUUGCCCCCCUGUGGUUUCUUUUUUCUCUUUUUCUUAUCAAUUUCAUUAUUUUUUUUUUCUUAAAUCAGUGGUAAAAUUAAAAUUAAAGGGUACUAAAGUGAAUAUUUGAUAAAUCUAGAUAGUUAUCUGAAGUUUUUUAUAUAUAAUUUAAUGAAAUAUUAACGAAAAAGCUACCAAAAAGAUAAAAACGAAACCACAGGGGGGCAAUUUGAUACAUUUUAAACCACAGGGGGGCAAAGUGAGAGAAACUGACGAAACCAACGGGCGGGGGCGGGGAGGGGAGGAGGGGGGGGUUUUGAAGUUUUUCCAAAUUUUUAUACUCUGUGAUGUAGUACUCUAAGCGGGUGUUUGGCUCUUUGGAAAAGCAAGAAUAGUAAUUUUUCAAAAAAUUUUUAAUGAAAAAUUAAUGUUCUAAAAAUCGGAUCGAAUAAUGUUCAAAAAUAUUACUAGAUCCAGGGACGAAGCAAGAAAUUAAGAUUCGGGGGGCUAAGAUUUAGAUUUGACAGAAAAAAUUUUUGACCUCGGUUAGUAGAAAAAAAAAUUUGUCGGAUUAACGACAAUAUGAUAAAAAAGGAAUAAGACUGUAAGAGCUGAAGGGAAAGGACUAACAAAUUCGAAAAAAAAUUGAGACCCAAAUUUUAUUCAAAAAAAUUAAUUUGACCCCCUAAAAUUAAAAUAUAUAAUAUUUUAAUUUUUAUUAUAAAGGACUUUAAUGUAAUUUUAAAAAGUUUGAGAGGGCCAUGGCCACUGGGCCCCUCAAUAGCUCCGCCCCUGACUAGGUCGAGGGGUAAUAAAUUAGCGACUUCAAUAUGGGGCUUUUUUUUGCAUUUAGCCCCCUGCUAAAUUUUCAUUUUAAAAAUUCCCUGUCAAAAUUUAAUUUGCAAAAAUGGCCCUAGGCCUGCCACGCAGGCGCCACGUCAGCGCCACGAGGGCGGGGCCGGGGGCGAUAGUUAAGUUAAACACGGUGAACCAUUCACCGUGUGUUUGAUACGUAUUUUUUGUAUAUUGAAAAGAGAAAUAGGGAAUUUGUAUUCCUUUUCUUCUCUUUUUCAAAAAUCCGAACCCGAACCCGAACCAGAAAAUCAAAUUAAAAUCCAAACUCGGAUCCGAACCCGGCGGAUUUUAAAAAUUCAUACCCAUAUCCAUAUCCGACCAAAAACUCGAAACCCGAACCUGAACCCAGUGGGUUUUAAAAAUCUAUACCGUCGGAUGAAGAUCUAAGAAAUAAAAAUUAUUAAAUAUUUUAUAUAUCGUAUAAAUAAAUAAAAAUAAAUUAUGUAUAUAUAUAUAAUUUAUUCGGGUUUGGAUUCGGAUAAUAUUUCGGAUAAUAUUUCGGAUAUCCAUAUCUAUUAACAUCCCUACUCUGUAUUUCUCUUUUCAAUAAAAAUACGUACUAAACAUGGUGAACCAUUCACUGUGUUUGAACACGGUGAAUGGUUCACCGUGUUCAACCUAACACACGAGCCAUGGCCCUGCCCGCGUGGCGCUGACGUGGCGCCUGCGUGGCAGGCUCAGGACCAUUUUUGCAAAUUAAAUUUUGACAGGACUAAUUUUAAAAUAAAAAUUUGCCAGGGGGCUAAAUGCAAAAGAAGCCCAAUAUGAUAUUAUAAAUAUUUAAUUAUUUUUAAAAUUUUUUAUAUAAAAAAUUAUAAUGUAUUGUUAUUUUAGUAAUAUACUUAAUUAUAAAAUCCUAAUCUUUAGACGAAAUUAAAUAAUAUAUGUUUUCAAAUUUUACUUUUUACAAGAUUAAUUUGUGCUAAUAAAAAAUAAAAUUAGCUAUACUAAUUUUAAGCUGUUGAAUUUUAAUUGAUUUGAUAAAAAAACUUCAAUUUGACUAAAAUCAGAUUAGUUCACUACUUUGAUGGUUGAACCGUUGAUUCGAAUGAUUUUAAAUGAUUUUUUAAUUUAUCGGGUUCAUAGAAUUGAACUGAAUCGCACGACAAAAUUGGACGAAAAAUCGAGUGAUAAAAUCUAAUUAAGCUAAAUUUGCUAAAUUUUAUGGUCAAUAUGUUAGGGUCAAUAGGGUUAGGGAUUAUGGGUUGCUUUUCUCACAUUCGAUGGAUUCACUCGACCUUCUUUUCUAGCUUGAAACUCUAUUUUUCCGAUGAGAUUUUUUUUGCCGGUCUUUGUUUGAGUGAUCGAGAAGCAAUACUGUUGGUUAUAUGAAUCCUCUCUUUCAAAAGAAUGAGGACGACACCCCGCAUGCCCAUGCUUCGCACUUCCGUGUUUCGCAUCCAACCCGUACGGCUCUUGUGUCCCAACGCUCCUUGGCAAAGGAACCAACAAGUCCACACCGUGCUUCUCGACCGUCCGCUCGACCCUCGCUUCGCCAUGGUGCUCCGCGCCCUUGACUCCCAUAGGUUCACCUCAUAAGGCCCCACACAAACGGACCGGCCUCACUCUGCAUCGCUAGCCACUGGUCCCGUCCUUGGCUCGGCCACGCCUGGCUGUUCACACCAUCGGUCCAGUCUCUCAAGGUACUACUUGCCUCAUUGGGUUCCGCCCCUCGAGUCUCGUAGACCUCCCGUCAUACGAAUUCUCCCUCGGCGUGCCGUGCGACCGAGCAACGGAUGGUUGAAGGAGGAAGGGUGGACACUGCGUAGAGUGACCCCGACUCCCCCGCGACUCAUAGGACAUGGGUCGUCCCUUGGCUAGCGGAGUGGCCAAGUCUAGCGUUCCGUGUGACCGAGUAUUGGACGGUUGAAGGAACACGGCCUAGGGUAAUGUCGGAGAUGCAAGAAUGAGAACAAGGAGUAUGUUAUGGAGGAAGAUGAUAAGGUUUGCCUCCUUCUGUAUAUGGAUCUCAUCUCUCGAAUUUCAUCAUAUUAUAUAAAUCUCGACGUCUCUCGAUAUCUAUUUGUAUAUUUUGAUUGUAAGAUAUGUCAUUGAAAAAUCAUAAUUUAGUUUUCUCCAAUAUCACAUUUUAUUUUAUAAGUAUAUCUAUAGAUAAAAAAUACUUGGGUGAAUACUCUAGGACAAAAUUGAUUUUUUUUCCUACUAUUUUUUUUUUAUUUGUCAAAUUAGUUUACAUGCUUUUGUAGUUUUAAUUUUAUGGCAAAAUCAUACUUAAUUCAUGCUAGCAAUAAAAAUAGCAUGCACCUUGUGAGCUAAGGGGGCGUUUGGUUUCUCGUAAAAAUGGUCAGAAAAUUUUUUUUCAGUUGAAAAUCAUUUUUCUAGCAUUUGGUUUGACGUAAAAAAAUUUUACGGAAUUUUUUUUUUUACGGUUUCUAUGGAAAAGCUUGCUUUUCGUUUUCCGCCGAUUCUCGGCGAAAAACGAAAACUCACCAUGGAAAAAUCGCGACUCAUAUUUUCCUUGCAUCGGGGUCCACGAGCUCAUGUAAGAGCUCGUGGACCGAAUAUAUAUAUAUNAUCGAUGAUUCGAAAGUUGCAACAUCAAAAACGAGCUGGAAGCACGGAAGGCUCCGUGCUUCCGAUAGCAUAGUAGCCUCACUCAUAUAUAUAUAUAUAUAUAUAGUCCGGCUAUGGUGCUUAUAAAAGUACCAAGCACUUGGUGCUUGUAAAUUUUUUACCGUUAGAUCUAUGCCUUUGAUCAUUUUCACAUGUUAGAUUCUACUAUUCAACCAACCACCAACUCAACCCUAAGGGGCCCACAUCAUCCUAACCUCACUUUUCUUAAUCCAAUGGCCGAAAACAUACAAGCACCAAUGACUUGGUACUUUUAAAAGUACAGGAGCUCAAUUAUAUAUAUAUAUAUAUACUAGUAAAAUGUACGUGCAAAUGCACGUAAUAAUUAUUAGAAAAAGUUAUAAAUUUUUUAAAUUAUUUUUUAAUUUUAGGCUAUAUUUUAUAUGAUUGCCAAAUAUGUAUCUAAAAAAUUUAAAAUAAUAAAUCACGCUAUUAAGAAAGAUAUGCUUUAAAUGAUAAAUAAUUAACAAUAAUCUCUAAUGCAAAAAUUACUUUUGAAAUUAAAUAGAAAAAUAAAAACUGUUAGGAAAUAAAUUUUUGAAAUUAAAUAGAAAAAUAAAAUCCGUUAUCUUAAAAAGAAAAUAUAUUUUGAAAUUAAAUAGAUAAUAUCUAAAAAAGAUAUUUUAAAAUAAAAUAGAAAAAUAUCUUUUAUAGGAUUUUCAACCUCGUAAUUUGUUAUAGAAAAUUUACUUUUGAAAUUAAAUAGAAAAAUUUAUAUUUUAGGAUUUUCACAUCAGUAAUCUGUUAUAGAGAACUUACGUAUUCAUUGCUGUUUCUAUUUCUAUUUUUAUUCUUAUAUUUAAAAUUUUUCGUACGUAAAGAGAAAAAUGUGUGCUAAUUUUUUCGCCGAAAAAUGGGUCUGUCGACAGACCCAAAUUUGAAUAUACGUGCUUUUAUAUAUAGUAAUAACUAGUUUGGAGUGUAGUCAAAUGUACUACAAAUGUAAGUUAUUAAUAAUUAUUUUAAAUUAAUAUGAAAAUUGUCAUCAUUUUUAUUCAAAAAUUAUAUAUUUUUUUAAAAUAAUUUAUUAUUAUGUAUAUUAGAAAAUACCUUGUUAUAUAUUAUUCUAAUUCAAAUUUAAAGAAGUUUUGUCAAAAUAAAUUAUAUAUAUUUUUUAUUUAUAUAAGUUAUAUAUAUAGAUAAUGAUAUAGAGAUACAUUGGAUAUUUUUCUAUAUUUUUAAUUUAAAAUUUAAUUCACGAUUUGAACUCAAAUUUAAAUUUUUAAUAUAAAAUGAAUGGAUAGAAGUGCUUUUUUUAACAGAUUGAUCAUAACCGUUCAUUUUUAUUUUUAAUAUUUUUAACUAAUUGAUCAUACUAAUUCGUAGCAAUUGAAGUUAUAGAUAAGUAUAAAUAUUAUUUUUUAACAAAUUAGUCAUAAUCGUUUGUUUCUUAUGAAUAAUUUUUUACAAAUUAAUCAUAAAUUUGUACAUCAUAUUAAUUCAAAUAUAUGAUUUAAUAAAUUUAUCAACCAAUCUAUUUUAAAUUAUUUUCAUUGUAAUAUAUUGAUAGUCCCAAAAUUUUAAAUUUUAAAUUAAUUUUAAAUUUUGAAUUGAAAUAUAGAUUUACUGUAAGAUAUUCUGGCAAAUUUGGAUAAGCAUAAUAUUUUUCUAUUUAGAGAAAAAAAUUAAAUAAUUUUUUAAUUAAAAUUAGAUUCACAGUAGAUAUCUUUCUGUUGGCAAAAUUUGAAUAAAUAUAUUUUUUUCUAUUUUUUAGAGAUAACAGAAAUGAAAAGUUUGUUUCAUUACGUUAUUAUUUUUACUACGGAAAGGGAAUCAAUAUUUUUUCCGCUUAAAAUAGGUCUGUCGACAAACCCAAAUUUGAAAUACGUGUUAUAUAUAUAGUAGUUAAAAUGUACCUGCAAAUGCACGUAAUAAUUAUUAGAAAAUUAUAAUUUUUUUAAAUUAUUUUUUUAAUUAGGCCAUAUUUUAUAUAGAUUGCCAAAUAUGUAUCUAAAAAAUUUAAAAUAAUAAAUCACGCUAUUAAGAAAAAUAUGCUUUAAAUGAUAAAUAAUUAACAAUAAUCUCUAAUGCAAAAUUUACUUUUGAAAUUAAAUAGAAAAAUAAAUCUGUUAGGAAAUAAAUUUUUGAAUUAAAAUAGAAAAUAAAACGUUUAUCUUAAAAGAAAAUAUAUUUUGAAAUUAAAUAGAUAUAUCUAAAAGAUAUUUUUAAAUAAAAUAGGAAAAUAUCUUUUAUAGAUUUUCACACCGUAAUUCUGUUAUUGAAAACUUCUUUUGAAAUUAAUAGAAAAAUUAUAUUUUAGGAUUUUCACAUAAGUAAUCUGUUAUAGAGAACUUACGUAUUUUUGCUAUUUCUAUUUUAUUUUUUAUUCUUAUAUUUAAAAUUUUUCGUACGGAAAGAAAAAUGGGCGCUAAUUUUUCCGCGAAAAAUGGUCUGUCGACAGACCCAAUUGUUGAAUAUACGUGCUUUUAUAUAUAAGUAUAGACUAGUUGAGUGUACGUACAAAUGUACGUAACAAUUUAUAUUAAUAAUUAUUUUAAAUUAAUAUGAAAUUGUAAUCAUUUUAUUCAAAAAUUUAUAAUAUUUUUUAAAAUAAAUUUAUUAUUAUGUACUAUUAGAAAAUACCUGUUAUAAUAUUAUUUAAUUUCAAAUUAAAGAGUUUGUGUCAACAAUAAUUAUAUAUAUUUUUUAUUUUAUAAAUUUAUAUAUAGGAAUAGAUAUAGAUUAUACAUUGGAUAUUUUUUCUAUAUUUUUAAUUUAAUUUAAUUCACGAUUUGAACUCAAAUUUAAAUUUUUAAUAAUAAAAUGAAAUGGGAAGUGCUUUUUUAACAGAUUGAUCAAUAACCGUUCAUUUUUAUUUUUAAUAUUUUUAACUAAUUGAUCAGUACUAAUUCGUAGAAUUGAAGUUAAUAGAUAAGUAAAUAUUAUAUUUUUAACAAAUUAGUCAUAUCGUUUGUUCUUAUUUGAGAAAUUUUUUACAAAUUAAUCAUAAAUUUGUACAUCAUAUUAAUUCAAAUAUAUGAUUUAUAAAUUUAUCAACCAAUCUAUUUUGUUAAAUUAUUUUCAUUGUAAUAUAUGUGAUAGUCCAAAAUUUUAAAUUUUAAAUAUUUUAAAUUUUGAAUUGAAAUAUAGAUUUACUGUAGAUAUUCUUGGCAAAAAUUUGGAUAAGCAUAAUAUUUUUCUAUUUUAGAGAUAAAAAAUUAAAUAAUUUUUAAUUAAAAUAUAGAUUCACAGUAGAUAUCUUUCUGUUGGCAAAAAUUUGAUAAAUAUAUUUUUUCUAUUUUAGAGAUUAACAGAAAUGAAAAGUUUGUUUCAUUACGUUAUUUAUUUUACGUACGGAAGUGGAAUCAAUAUUUUUUCCGCUAAAAAAUAGGUCUGUCGACAAACCAAAUUUUAAAAUACGUGUUUAUAUAUUAAUAGUAAAUGUACGUGCAAAUGCACGUAAUAAUUAUUAGAAAAGUAUAAUUUUUUAUUAAAAUUUUUUAAUUUAGGCCAUAUUUUUAUAUGAUUGCCAAAUAUGUAUCUAAAAAAUUUAAAAUAAUAAAUCACGCUAUUAAGAAAAAUAUGCUUUAAAUGAUAAAUAAUUAACAAUAAUCUUCUAAUGCAAAAUUUACUUUUGAAAUUAAAUAGAAAAUAAAAUCUGUUAGGAAAUAAAUUUUUGAAAUUAAAUAGAAAAAUAAAUCCGUUAUCUUAAAAGAAAAUAUAUUUUGAAAUUAAAUAGAUAAUAUCUAAAAAAGAUAUUUUAAAAUAAAAUAGGAAAAUAUCUUUUAUAGGAUUUUCACACCGUAACUGUUAUGAAAUUACUUUGAAUUAAAUAGAAAAUUUAUAUUUUAGGAUUUUCACAUAGUAAUCUGUUAUAGAGAACUUACGUAUUAUUGCUAUUUCUUUUCUAUUUUAUUCUUAUAUUUAAAAUUUUUCGUACGGAAAGAGAAAAAUGGGCGCUAAUUUUUCCGCCGAAAAAUGGGUCUGUCGACAGACCCAAAUUUGAAUAUACGUGCUUUUAUAUAUAGUAUAGAUAUAUAUAUAUAUAAUAUAUAUAUAUAUAUAUAUAAUAUAUAUAUAUAUAUAUAUAUAUAUAAUAUAUAUAUAUAUUAAAAUUUUAUUUAUAAAUAUAUAAUAAUUUAUUUUAUAAUAUUAAAUAUAUAUUAUUAUUAUAUAUUAUAUUAUAUAUUUAUUAUAUAAUAUAUUUUAAAUAUAUCUUGUUUAUAAAUAUAAAUUAUAAUAAUUAAAUAUAUUAUGAUAAUUAUUAUAUAUUAAUAAUAUAUAAUAAUAUAUAUAAUAAGAGAAAAUAUAUAUUAAAUAGUUUUUUAUUUUUUUCUUUUCCUUUCGACCAAACAACCGUCACGGAAAUUUUUUUUGUUUUUUCCUACAAACCAAACACAAACACAAACGACGUAAAAUUUUUUUCCCACCGAAAAUUUUUUUUCCUCAGUUUUACGUGGAACCAAACACAACCUAAAUGAAUAGUGGAUUAGAAACGUAAUGCGGAAAAUAAAUUAACUUUUUAUGAUUUUAAAUUAAAAUUUAUGAUUUUCAUUCUUUUCUUUACUUCUAGAUAGGUAAGAAUGGGCAAUUGGGUCUAAUUUAAUUAAUUUUGUCCUAACUUUUUUGGUUGUAACAUACUAUAUAGCAUAUGUGGAAAAUGAAUUAAGACAAGUCAAUUAACCCAAUGGUUGAUUGGCCACUUAUGUCAAGUCCAAGCCUAAUUUGCUAGGCCUAUUCUUGGGCUUGGGUUUGGACUGCCCAAUCAAUCUAUGCACAUAGUAGAGAUUGUUCAUUUGCAGUUGUAACUGUAUACAGAUCCGAACAGAUCCAAAUUUAAAAUUUUUAAAAUUCAAAAUUUAAAAUAUUAAAAUUUAAAAUAUUAGAAUUUUAAAAUUUAAAAUUAUAACUUUCAAAUUUAAAUUUGAAAAUUAAAUUUUUAAAAUUUAAAAAUUUGAAAACUUAAUUUUAGAAGUUAAGAGUUCAAAUUUUAAAAUUAAAAUUUUAAAAAAUUAAAAAUUAUAUUAUUUUAAAAAUUAGGUCGCUAAACACUCAACUGAGCCGGCAAUCACUUUUGGGCUCCAAAAUAGGGUUUUGAGCCCACUAAAAUAAUUAUCUACCGCCCCACCGCACUGGCCUACUUUUGGGCCCACCACAAACACCAAAACCUGGCUGGCUCGAAUUGUAGAAAGGGGUGGGGGCAUUUUCGUCAGAUCAUGUCGACCGCACCGAAUCAUAACCCUAGCUAUUUAUAUAUUGAUGUUGGUGUCGCUCCUCUUCUCUUCUUUUCCUUACGCCGUCUCCUCUGUUCGCCCUUUGCAUCCAUACCCAUUCCCUGCGCCGCCGGAAACGAACGAUGAAGUUCAACCCUCGGGUGUCGAGCUCGCGGCGCAAGUGCCGGAAGGCGCACUUCACGGCGCCGUCGAGCGUGCGGCGGGUGCUGAUGAGCGCGCCGCUGUCGGCCGAGCUGCGGAGCAAGUACGGCGUGCGGUCGAUGCCGGUGCGGAAGGACGACGAGGUCCAGGUCGUGCGGGGCACCUUCAAGGGCCGCGAGGGCAAGGUCGUCCAGGUCUACCGCCGGAAGUGGAUCAUCCACGUCGAGCGGAUCACCCGCGAGAAGGUGAACGGCUCGACCGUCAACGUCGGCGUCGCCCCCUCCAAGGUCGUCAUCACCAAGCUCAAGCUCGACAAGGACCGCAAGGCCCUGCUCGACCGCAAGGCCCGCGGCCGCGCCGCCGCCGACAAGGCCAAGGGCGCCAAAUUCACCACCGAAGACGUCGCCGCCGCCGCCGCCGCCGCAGCUGCCCCUUCCCUCCAGGAGAUCGAUUGAGAUGAAUUAAUUCGCCACAUAGUAAGUUUAAGUUCACUAUUAUUAUGGUCGAUUUACUUCUCUCUUUUUGAGAUUGAUGAUGUUAGGAUGGAUGGAUGGAUGGCUUUGAGAUUGCGUUUAAGAUAAGAUGAUCAUAAUGUUUUGCUUCGCACUUUGCAUGAACUAGUUAAUUCAGUUUUGUGGAUCUGAUUUUCUUAGUAUAGUCUAUAUGAUGAAUGCUCGUGCUUGGUUAUAAAGUUGCGUAUCUCCUUAUUGAUCCACAUUUCCCUUUUCCUUGUGUGUAUUUGUUUCGGUUAGCUUUGAUUGAUUGAAGUUGGAUAUUAUUGGCUGGUUCACAAUCUAUCGAUUCUAUGUUAAUCGAGAUGCAACAUGUGUAUGCGACAAGCAAACGAUAAAAUGUUAUACCAUUCUAAAGAGAGAAAAAAUUUAUAUUUAUUAGAUAUACUUAUAUAUUAAAGUUAGCUAGGAAGUUUGAUAGAAAAUUAUUUAUUAGAUAUAUGUAUAUAUUAAAUUUAGCUAGGAAGUUUGAUAGAAAAUUUGGUUAGGGCUUUUGGUGGUUCCCUUGCAUGCUUAACAACUCUCAACAUCUCUUUGGUAAUCGUAAUAGGGCAGAUAAGAUUGACAGAAACUUUGGUCAGGACUAUAUUUUUUCUAAGCCUCUGGAAAGAUAAAGAUUUCUUUAUUUAGAGUUCUGGGGCAUGUAAUUUGUUUCUCCCUCUGCUUAAGAGUUCUCAGACGCCAAAGUAUAUUCUCUAGCGAGUUUUUUUUAUUUCUUUGACGUAUCUACAGCAAACACAAUGAUUAAAUGAUGAUUGCCGGGAAUAUGAUAGAUACAAUAAGAAGUCGUCAUCUGUGGAUGAUUUGUUUCACAAGGGCAAGUAUGUGUUGAAUGCACUUGUCGUCGUGUCGUGAAAACUGAUUUAAACAGUAUUUAUAUACUCUUAUUACGCAAAACUGAUUUAAACAGUAUUUAUAUACUCUUAUUAUGCAAUGUUCGUAGAAUAUUUUCCUGUUUAAAGUAAUUGUGCGCAGGAAAGUGAUAAACAUAGAAUCCCAGGGUUUACUGGUGAUCAAUCUACUACUUGUUUCCUCUUCUUUGCCUUUUCGAACCAUGCAGAGAAAUGUUAAUUUUCUCUUUCUUCUCUAUAUGCUAAGCAAGACUGGCAUUUACCAUUGCAUUCUCUUCUUGCCUUUUUAUUUCUCUUCUCUUCCCAUUCUCUCUCUCCAAGUCCGGUAGAGCAUUAAUAUGAGAAGAGACUAGGUGUUGAACAACUAGCUGUUGAGCAGUUUGAUUAUCUCCGUCUUUGCUUGUCGCUAGGCAUUGAUUUUUGUUACAAAUUAUAUGGACAGCUAUGAUGAGGAUGUGUUAAGGUCGAACAUUUCGGUGGAAUGGGCGAGAAGAGCCUCUUGUUGUGUCACCCAUUCGAAUGUUGAUGCUUAUAAAGUCUUAUGAAUAAAUGAACCUUGCUGUUUGUGGUUUAAUCCGUGUUCACUGGUAUUCUCUUUUGGCCGUGCUAUUAUGCUUUUAACUGAAUUGGAGCUCUAGUAUCUGGAAUUUGUGGAAUAGAAGGAACGAGUAAUAGUAGCUCUAGUAUCUAAACAAAAAUAUUUAUAUUUACAUUUAUAAAAGUCUCAGAAUAAGAAUGAAUUGAAAUAAAAUAAGAAGCACAAAUUUUUAGGAAUGGCAAUUUUGAUAAUAAGAAUAAAUGUUGAAAAACCUAUCUUCGUAUCAAAUCUAAGCCAAUUGAAAUAGUUGCGAAUUCUAGUUGUUCAACACAACCCAAACCAAAAACCUAUUUAAAAUAUUCAAAACUAUUGCAGAGAACCCAGUACAGUUAGUAUAGUAUAAGAGAUCUUGUAAGUGAUUAGUUGUUAAAGAUACAGUAUGUGCAUGGUGGCUAUAUCAAAUUGGAAUCGCUUCCGGUUGUAAGAGCUUCAACAUCACCAGUCAUAAACCCCUUUGUAGAUCACUAGGAAGCUACAAGUUUCGAUCCAAUUUGCUUCACAUCUGAGUUGCAUGUAAUUCGCUCCAGAAAUAAAUGCUGAAAUUGUUGACACCUUUACAAAUUUCUGGAGUGCUCAAAGCAUAGAUUUUAGAAGUACAAAUGUAGUUCAAAAUUGUACUUCUUUGCAUUAUGUUAUGUGUUAAUUCGAGGCACACAAAUUUAUCGAAAUAUGAAGUAUUGAGAUCAGUGCCAAUACAAUAUAUUUGAAGCAAAGGAGCAAUAGCAAUACUCCCCCUCCCCCUGGAAUAGGUGUGGGAAUAGCUAUUCCCAUCCCUAUUUAAUUUUAAAUUUUAAAUUUUGAAAAUUUAUAAUUUGUAAUCAUAAAAUUAAAAUUUUAAAUUUUAAAUUUUAUAAUUUUAAUUUUUAAAAUUUAAAAUUUGAAAUUUUCUAUUUCUAAUUUUAGAUUUGAUUUUAAAUUUAAAAUUUGAAAUUGAAAAUUUAGAACUUUGAAUUUUCGAAUUUGAGAUUUUUAAAUUCAAAAUUUAAUUUUGUAUUUUUAAAAUUUAAGAGUUAUAUAUUUAAAUUUACAAAUUUUAAUUUAAAUAUAAUAAAGAGGUUAAUAUCAUUAUUUUCUAUUUAUAAUCCUUCACUAUCUUCUUAUUUCACUUACUUCAAUCAAAUACUAUUUUGCUUAUAUUUGGGCUAAAUUCAAUACUCAACUAAAUACAAAAUUACUCCGUAUCCAUCUAUUCUCUUAUUUAUAGCCGAAUCAAAUGAAGUCUUUUUUUUUUAAAAAAAUACAUUGCUCACAAUCACAAGAUUGAAAUUACCUAUGGAACAUUAUGUCAAAUAUUUAGAUAACUUAUUAUUAUUAAAGUGAGCACCUUGUUUCAGUUCUAUAUAUUCAAUUAUUCAUAUUUUUAUUAUUUACAGGAAAAACUUUUAGCAAUAGUUUUUCAUAAAAUUAUAUUUAUAUUAUGCAUAGUUAUUUGAUGUUAUGAGAUUGUUUUUUCGGCUGUAUUUAUUUAAAAAAUUAGGGAACGAGGAGGAUUAAGGCAGUUGAUUUUAAUAUUCCCAUCUAUUUAAUAAUUUUUUUCAUACUUCUUGUAAAAAUGAAAUUUAACGAAUUUUCUCGAAUGAAUGUGACUAAUUUUAUAUUUGGAUGAAAAUUAAAUGAAAAUUAAAUUAUUUUCAGAAAUAAUAAAAAUAGGCGUUUGGAUAUUAAGAAUAGAAUAAUAAGAAUAAAAAUAAUUAUAAUUUUAAAAUAAUAAUAUUUAUCUAAUUAAUUAAUAUAAAAUAUUUAAUUAAAAAUAAUUUAAUAAAUUAAUUCACAAUUAUUCAUAUAAAAUGCAAAACAAAAUAUUAUUAUCAAUCUUAAGUUCAAGCUCAAAAUCCAUUCAAGUUGAAGUGACCUAUCCACGACGAUAACAGUGGAUUCGGCCGGUGCGGACGUUGACCGUGAAUCCAUUAACCUUCUUGCUAACCUUUUUUCAUUGUAUAUAAAUCAAACUAGUUUCUACAAAAUAAUUAAACUACAAAAUUAUUUUCCUUCAUACAACUAGUUCCCAUCAGUUAUGCAAAUAUUAGCCAGUUAUGCUUACAGCUUAAUGAAUUCCAUCACAAAAUCACCAAAUGGAUUCUAUUUUAAACUCUUAAUUUUUAAAUCUUCUUAACAACAUUUAUUCUUAUACUUUAUUUCAGAUAAGUAUGAAUUUGAAAAUUAAACGAAUAUAAAUAAAAGAUAUGAGCUUUAAGACCAUCAAUAUUUAUUAUUUAGUUUUCUCCAAUAUCCUAGAAUAUUUGACAAACUAUAAAAAAAUAAAAUACUUUUUUAGAACGUUUUUUUUCUUUAUUCAUGUAUAAAAUUAUGUUGUAUAGCUUUAUAGCUCCUAUUUGAUGUUAAAUUAUUUUUAACGCAUGACUAAAAACAAAAAUUGUAUGCACCUUAUCAUCUUAAAUGAAUGGAUGAACUACCUCAAAUAAAAUAAUUAUAAAAAAAAAUAGUAAUAAAAUCUAAUUCAUGUUUGUACAUUUCACAAAUAAAAUUCGUGUCUAAAAGACUAAGGCAUGCCCAGGAAAAAAAAGAAAAUUUUGUUAGGGCCAGAACAAUUAAUUAGUUCAAAAUUGAUUCAGAUUUUGGGGUUGGAUUCGAACAAGUUCAACCAGUUGAUAUACAGAGAGAGAAAAUCAUGCGAUAGAGAGUGACCAACUUUUUUCUCUUUUUUUGAAAAAUGUAUUAAUUUUAAUAAUUAUUUUUUUAUUUUGUCAAAUAGAUCAACAUAUCGCUCUUCUUCUCUAGUAAAAUUAGUAAUUGAACAUCUAUUCCUACAUUAUGUUUUAUAUCAUGUGCAGCUCUAGAACACAUCUAAAAUCGAACCCGACCAAAACCUUGUUACCGAACCGAAAAUCUGAACAAAAAAUAAUUAAUUUUUUGCCAUAUUUGAAAAUAUAUAUUACAACUUAAAAUUUUCAUAAAUAAAUUCAAAUAUAAUAUCAAAAACGCACGGGCGUGUACACUCACACAUAUAUAUCUAUAAAGAGUAGGACUACUGUAUUAUUAGGAACGCAACAAUCUUGUGCUAUAGUCUUGUGCUCCUAAACUUCUAAUUAUCCGGUGAGAGAGAAGCAAAAUUAAGAAGAGAUUCCAUGAGGAGAAAUUGAUAGAUUCAUCCUAAUCAUCCAUCAAAAUUGAUGAAGAGCUAAAAAUUUACGAACACAAGAACUGUUAUGCUGCUAAUAGCAUAAUAACUCUGCUCUCUCUCUUUGAAUAUAUAUAUACACACACAGUAGCCAAAUGCAUGUGCAAUCCGCGUUGCAAAUAAAAAAAAUUAGCAAUAUAUUUUUCAAAAAUAAAAAUUUAUUUUAAAUCAGAUAAGAAUGGCUCCAAUAAAAAUUAUUCUAAAAUAUGUGACAUUCUAAUGUAGACCCCUCAAAUUUAAUUUGUGAUAACAUUCGUAACUGCAAUAGAAAGGGAAAGCCAACAGUAUGAUAUUUAUAGGAGUUCAUAGUCCUUAAAUUAGAUGAUAGUGGCAAUAUUGGAAAAAAAAAAUUUAGGGAGGUUUCUCAAAACUGCUGUAUUAGAUUGCGCGACAUUGUAGAUAUAGAAAAACUAAAAAACGCGCGGUAUUAAAACGUGCAGGUGAUAUGGAAAGGGUAAUUUAAUCAAUAAAUAUGACAUGUUUAAAUUGUUAUUUGUCUGAGAUGUGAUGGCCAAAAUUAUCAUAUAAUACUAAAGUAUUAUUUUUUUUUAAAUAUCUAUCGGUUAUAAAGUGAUGCUAACAACCAAAGUUUCGAUAUUGGUAGAAGGUGGUAGUCAUUAUGUUAGAUGAUAGUGGCAACAUUGGAAAAUAAAAAAAACUCUCUUUUAACAGUAGUAUGGACAUAUAUAUAUAUAUAUAUAGAGAGAGAGAGAGAGAGUUGAGCUGGAAUACUAUUGAUAGCAAACGGGCUCCAUUGCAAUUCAUUUAUUUUCGAUGAUGGAGCCUCAAAAUCGACGAUCAGCACCGUUGAACAUGAUCUAUACCACUUGAAAUGUUUAGAAAUUAAAUUUCAUAUAUUUUCGAUAUUGUUCUCUUAUCCAUCAAGUGAACACAAAAAUGAACGGCUGAAAAUGAAUACUCUUUAAAAAAUGAUGAUAGGGGUCUUGUAAUCAAGAUCAAGAGUAUAGAUCUUGUUUUAAAUAGUUUAAAAAAUUUUCUAACAAAAAUUCAAUUGAUUUAGAUAUUUUUACGCCGUUAAAUAAGAAAACGUCUCAUAUCGACCAUUAAAAUUACAAAUUUUGAAACCCUUUGAUCAUUAGGCAAAUGAUGUCGAAGAGAUUUGAAAUUUGAUUUCUAAACACUUUAAGUGGUAUAGAUCAUGUUCAACGGUGCCGAUCGUCGAUUUGGAGGCUCCAUCAUCGAAAACAAAUGGGUGGCAACGGAACCCGUUUGCUAUCGAUAGUAUUCUAGCACAACUCUAUAUAUAUAUAUAUAUAUAUAUAUAUAUAUAUAUAUAUAUAUAUAUAUAUAUCUAUGGAUUACGUGCAAAUCACGUAACAUUAAUUAUUAUUAUAUAUUUCAAACGAAUAUAAAGUGUACAUUAUAUAAAUCCAAAAUUUAUAAUAAAAACUAUAUUUAUAAAUUCAAUAUAUAAAUAAUUUAUUAGAAAAUAUUUAAAAUAUCCUAUCGUGUUCUUUUUAUAUAUAUACAUCGAGACAUUUUAUAUACUUAUUGAUUGAUGAUAUAAAUUUAAAUAUGUGUGUUUAAACUAAACGCAUUCAAAUUUUAAUUUAUAUUGUAAUUUUCAAAUUUUAAAAUUAAGAUUGAUCCACUGUAAAUAAAAAAUUAAUUGUUAAUUAAAGAUUGAUAUGCAAAAAUUAAAUUAAUCUAUGUUAAACUCGAAUUUUAAUGAUAAAAAUAGAUAAAUUACAGUAAUGGCUUUUUUACAAACUUGAUCAUAACUGUUUGUUUUUUAUUGAAGGUAUUUUUUUUAAACAAAUUUGAGUUAUGAAUGUUGUAGGAUUGAAUUUAUCGAACAUGGAUAGGAAUGCUAUUUUUUAAUAAUUGAUCAUAACUAUUCUUAUUUGUGAUUCUUUUUAACAGCAAAUGUGAUACAAUAAAAGUAUAUUUGUAGAAAGAAGCAAAGUAGAUAUUUUAUAUAGAGAGAUUUAUAUAGAUUGAUCAUUGAACCGUUCUUAUGAUUUUGAGAUAUUUUUAGACAAAUUAAUCAUAACCAUUCGUAGGGAAUAUUAUUUUUUUUACAGAUUAAUCAUAACCGCUUGUUUUUAUUGACGAUAUUUUUAAUAUAUUAUCAUAACCAUUUUAAGGUCAAUAUUAUUUAUUCCUUUUUCGGAAUUUGUCUGUCAUUGUCGGAAUUAUCUAAUACGCUUUUAGUAUUAUAUAUAGAUAUAUAUACCUAGUUGAAUGUUAAUCGUGCAAAUGCACGUAACCAAUUAUUAUAAUUUAUUCCAAUCCAUAUAAAAUUUGUACAUUAUAUAUAUCGAUCAAAAUUUUACAAUAAAAAUUAUUUUGAAUAAUUAAUGUCUUAUAUUUUAAUUAAAAAUAUUUAUAAUAUCUAAAUCGUGUUCUUUUAUUAUAUUACAUCGAAAUAUUUUAUAAACUUAUACUUUUUGAUUUUUUG